rnacentral:rRNA from 1 species
GACGAACGCUGGCGGCGUGCUUAACACAUGCAAGUCGAACGGAAAGGCCCUGCUUUUGUGGGGUGCUCGAGUGGCGAACGGGUGAGUAACACGUGAGUAACCUGCCCUUGACUUUGGGAUAACUUCAGGAAACUGGGGCUAAUACCGGAUAGGAGCUCCUGCUGCAUGGUGGGGGUUGGAAAGUUUCGGCGGUUGGGGAUGGACUCGCGGCUUAUCAGCUUGUUGGUGGGGUAGUGGCUUACCAAGGCUUUGACGGGUAGCCGGCCUGAGAGGGUGACCGGCCACAUUGGGACUGAGAUACGGCCCAGACUCCUACGGGAGGCAGCAGUGGGGAAUAUUGCACAAUGGGCGGAAGCCUGAGGCAGCAACGCCGCGUGCGGGAUGACGGCCUUCGGGUUGGAAACCGCUUUCGCCUGUGACGAAGCGGGAGUGACGGUAAUGGGUAAAGAAGCACCGGCUAACUACGUG